AUAAGCGGGGGAAACCCCGUCUAAUACCGCGUAACGCGGCCUAGGGACAUCCCAAGGCCGCCAAAGGGAGCAAUCCCGGCCACGGAUGGGCAUGCGGCGCAUUAGCUAGUCGGCGGGGUAACGGCCCACCGAGGCGACGAUGCGUAGGGGUUCUGAGAGGAAGGCCCCCCACACUGGUACUGAGACACGGACCAGACUCCUACGGGAGGCAGCAGUGAGGAAUAUUGGUCAAUGGGCGCGAGCCUGAACCAGCCAAGUCGCGUGAGGGAGGACGGCCCUACGGGUUGUAAACCUCUUUUGCCGGGGAGCAACGGGCGCCACGUGUGGCGCCACUGAGAGUACCCGGAGAAAAAGCAUCGGCUAACUCCGUGCCAGCAGCCGCGGUAAUACGGAGGAUGCGAGCGUUAUCCGGAUUUAUUGGGUUUAAAGGGUGCGUAGGCGGAUCGUUAAGUCAGUGGUCAAAUUGAGGGGCUCAACCCCUUCCCGCCAUUGAAACUGGCGAUCUUGAGUGGAAGAGAAGUAUGCGGAAUGCGUGGUGUAGCGGUGAAAUGCAUAGAUAUCACGCAGAACCCCGAUUGCGAAGGCAGCAUGCCGGCUUCCGACUGACGCUGAAGCACGAAAGCGUGGGGAUCGAACAGGAUUAGAUACCCUGGUAGUCCACGCGGUAAACGAUGAGCGCUAGGUGUCCGGGGGGAAUGGCCCCUGGGCG
rnacentral:rRNA from 1 species